rnacentral:rRNA from 1 species
UACGGAGGGUGCAAGCGUUGUUCGGAAUCACUGGGCGUAAAGCGCGUGUAGGCGGCUUGGCAAGUCGGGUGUGAAAUCCCAGGGCUCAACCCGGGAACUGCACCCGAAACUGCCUCGCUGGAGACCCGGAGAGGGUGGCGGAAUUUCCGGUGUAGAGGUGAAAUUCGUAGAUACCGGAAGGAACACCAGUGGCGAAGGCGGCCACCUGGACGGUGACUGACGCUGAGGCGCGAAAGCGUGGGGAGCAAACAGG